rnacentral:rRNA from 1 species
UACGUAGGGGCCGAGCGUUGUCCGGAGUUAUUGGGCGUAAAGCGCGCGCAGGCGGCGGUGUCAGCCCGACGUGAAAGCCCCCGGCUUAACCGGGGAGGGUCGUGGGGGACGGCACCGCUUGAGGGCGGGAGAGGUCGGUGGAAUUCCCGGUGUAGUGGUGAAAUGCGUAGAGAUCGGGAGGAACACCUGUGGCGAAGGCGGCCGACUGGGCCGACCCUGACGCUGAGGCGCGAAGGCGUGGGGAGCGAACGGG